CCAAUUUCAAACCUUCCUUUUGUCUCAAAGAUAUUAGAAAAAGUUGUUUCCAAACAAUUAUGUUCUUAUUUGAAUGAAAAUUGUAUUCAUGAAAAAUUUCAAUCAGGAUUUAGACCCAACCAUAGUACCGAAACCGCAUUAAUUAGAGUAGUUAACGAGUUGUUAAUGUCUUCUGAUAAUGGAUGUGUCUCUUUUCUUGUUCUAUUAGAUCUUAGUGCAGCGUUUGAUACGGUCGAUCAUAACAUUUUACUGGAGAGGCUAGAAAAUACAGGCAUUCUGGUGGGAACCUGUUUACACGCCAAGGUUAAGGAUUAAAGUCGAGUCGCCACGGCAGUCGACACUGUUCCUGCCGGAUGUGACGGGUCUGGAGUAAUUUUCACCAAGAAUGACAAGAAAUCACUACAGACUUUAUUGAAGAUUAUUUAUCUAUUUAUUACCAGUUAUAACUUUUAGUUCAUUUAAUUCUGUGUUUAGAUGCUUUGUGUAAAUUAUGUAUUUAUUUAAAGUAUCCUCCAGACCACCCAAGAAGGAUGGGCCCUGCUGAGUCUGGUUCCUCUCAAGGUUUCUUCCUGUAAUUUUCAGGGAGUUUUUCCUUGCCACAGUCGCCCUCGGCUUGCUCAACAGGGGUUUUUGUAUCUAUUGGUCAUGGAUUUUGUAAAGUUGCUUUGUGACAAUGUCUAUUGUAAAAAGCGCUAUAUAAAUAAAGUUGACUUGACUUUAGUGGACAAACCUA